CGUUCCUGGAAGAAUUUUGGAAGUUCAACGAGUCCUUCGCGGUUAGUUGAGUCGAAAGCUCGGGCGUCAAGUGGCCAUCAACUCCCGCAAGCCCGAAAGUUCAAUAGUGCCUAUCGAUAAUUUGAUUCAGAAUAAUUCGCACAAAUGAUUGCGAAGGCAGCGCACGAGACCCAGAAUCUCCUCACGACUUAUCUGAUCCUGUUGGUCCUGUUGAUAUGCCUGUGGGCGCUCUAUUCAGGGAUUUAUUAAUCUGAGGGAGAGGAAUGACGGUGGACUAAUGACAAUGAAGAAUUUUUCAUGACGAUGGGGUAUAAUGCAAGGCAACAACGACCUCCGUGUGCCGCUGCAAUUAUUCGUAUGUCCAUGGCGACUCCACGAGGACCAAUGCAACAUCCAGACACUAGUAUUUGCAUAAAAAAACUCCGGAAUUGUCGGAAAUGAAUGGUUUUAUCUGUUGUUAUUUUUAUUUCCUCACACCCCGAGUCAAUGUGGGCUUGGAUCACUUGUGCGCGUGUUUACGGAUUUAGGUUGUUCUAUGGAGUCAAGGGAAAACGCUUACGCAAUUUUUAAUGUUACGUGUUGAAUAUUGAAGAUGAAAGAAAUGUUGAUGUUGUGAUGACGUUUGGCGGAGGUUUGUUAUGAGUUUAUCAAUGAGUAAACUGGAAUGAGUCUCUAUUUA